rnacentral:sRNA from 4 species
UAUUCUGCCCUACGGGGAAGGAUGAGAAGGUUCGACUCGAGCGUAGCGAGAGAACGUUGCCGCAGGCAACGGCCCGAAGGGCGAGGCGCUUUAGCGCCGAGUUAUCCUUCCCCCACCACCA